AGAGGCUACAUCUGAGAGGCAGAGAGGAGGAGCAGGGCAUUCCUCUGGAGUACCGGGAGAAACUCCACUUCAAACAUGAGAGCUGGAUGCAGCACAAAACCAUGCGGCGAGAGAGGGAGGAAGGAAGUGUUGCUGGGAUUGUGAACGAGGAAGGGAGUGUUACGGAAGGGAGUAGGUUGAGCAUGGUAUAUGAGUAUCUGAUUGACACGCCCAUUCUGACGCUGGAUAUCAACAAAGAUUUUAAAGGGGACAAGGUCAAGGGUGCCGACAUGGUGGAAAAGGUCAAAGAGUUUCUCAGUACCUUGAAAACACCAGCAGAUGACCAUCAUAGCCUGCUCUGGAUGGCAGCCAGCAGUGAGGACAGAUGUGGAACAUGUUUUGAAAUGAAUGAUGUAAAUUAUUUUUUAUAUUAUUUUAAAAGCAUUUUAAAUGUAUCGACCUGCAUGGGUACCUGCAUGGGUAAACACAAUAUGAUACGUUUGUAUAGCUUGGUUUCACCUUCAUAUCCUGUCUGUUUUAUUUAUCAAUAUGAAUGAGAAGGGGAAAAACCUGAAUAUGUAUUUCUUUAUUAGAAAUCAUUUGUGCUGUUUUAUAAACGCCUAAAAUAAUAAAGGGCUACCAGUAUAAAGGAA